rnacentral:rRNA from 1 species
GACGAACGCUGGCGGCGUGCUUAACACAUGCCAGUCGAACGGAAAGGCCCUGCUUUUGUGGGGUGCUCGAGUGGCGAACGGGUGAGUAACACGUGAGUAACCUGCCCUUGACUUUGGGAUAACUUCAGGAAACUGGGGCUAAUACCGGAUAGGAGCUCCUGCUGCAUGGUGGGGGUUGGAAAGUUUCGGCGGUUGGGGAUGGACUCGCGGCUUAUCAGCUUGUUGGUGGGGUAGUGGCUUACCAAGGCUUUGACGGGUAGCCGGCCUGGGAGGGUGACCGGCCACAUUGGGACUGAGAUACGGCCCAGACUCCUACGGGAGGCAGCAGUGGGGAAUAUUGCACAGUGGGCGGAAGCCUGAUGCAGCAACGCCGCGUGCGGGAUGACGGCCUUCGGGUUGUAAACCGCUUUCGCCUGUGACGAAGCGUGAGUGACGGUAAUGGGUAAAGAAGCACCGGCUAACUACGUG